rnacentral:pre_miRNA from 1 species
UCUCAUGGAUGAGCAAAGAAGGUCUUUUCUUAAGACAGAAUAUACUCCUGGUGAAGAUGCUCUGAA